rnacentral:rRNA from 1 species
GACGAACGCUGGCGGCGUGCUUAACACAUGCAAGUCGAACGGAAAGGCCCUGCUUUUGUUGGUUUCUCGAGUGGCGAACGGGUGAGUAACACGUGAGUAACCUGCCCUUGACUUUGGGAUAACUUCAGGAAACUGGGGCUAAUACCGGAUAUGAGCUCCUGCUGCAUGGUGUGGGUUGGAAAGUUUCGGCGGUUGGGGAUGGACUCGCGGCUUAUCAGCUUGUUGGUGUGGUAGUGGCUUACCAAGGCUUUGACGGGUAGCCGGCCUGAGAGGGUGACCGGCCACAAUGGGACUGAGAUACGGCCCAGAAUCCUACGGGAGGCAGCAGUGGGGAAUAUUGCACAACGGGCGGAAGCCUGAGGCAGCAACGUCGCGUGCGGGAUGACGGCCUUCGGGUGGUAAACAGCUUUCGCAGGUGACGAAGCGUGAGUGACGGUAAUGGGUAAAGAAGCACCGGCUAACUACGUG